UGGGGCUAAUUUAUGAAGUUAAGACAUUUCCGACCUAAGUUUGUGGAGGUCCUAAUUUGGAUCAAGAUAUCUUCUUGUGAUUGAUUUGUUACCGAGCAUUCAUUUAGAGAUCCUAGCCAAAGCCAAGAUAUCUCUGCGAGGUCAAUUCUCCUUGACUUAGUAGUCAUUGGGGGCCAUAUCAGAGCUUGGAUAUCUCUAGGUCAUUUUUGUUUG
rnacentral:lncRNA from 1 species